GAUUGGAUCACUACCCUGUCAAUCAGCCACGCCCCCUGUACGUACCUUACGUGUUUAUUGGAGAAACCCGCGCUCUCAUACUAGAUAACGUUAAGCAUCAACACGUUAGCGGGAGGGGUACCGAGACUCAUCGUCUUCGGCUUUCGGAGUUACCAUUUUUUGACGGCAAAAGACGAACAGCACAGUGCAAGACAUGCGGCAUAAACAUCUCGCACACCCAGACGACAACUUCAAACUUUGUUCGUCAUUUGAAGAUCCAUUCUGACCGCUCCAGGCGCCGGCGGCUUCAUCCGAGAGUCGCCGCCGAGGUGGAAGUUCCCCACAGUCACAGCUCCUCACCAGGCGCCAGAUCCUGAAACAUUCAGGAUGGAGCUGAGGUCUUCAUUAAGAACUGAACAAGUCAAUCUGGUGAGGAACCCGAGUCCGGCCGCCUUUUGUUUCAGCCUUUGUUGUGAAAGACGAACGUCUGCUGCUGGCUCAGUGCUGACACUUUUAACGUAGCCCGCUAAUCUACAUGUACAGUUGGAGCGACCAGCGGCGUGAAACACAUCUCAACACGCCGCAUUGUCAAACCGGGAAGUGAUGUGUGAACACCGUGAGCAUUGUAAGACAAGUAAUUAUGCGCCAGUCCAGGAGGCAGCCAUCACUGCACACCUGGUCCAUUUAGAUCGCUGAUAGCGUGUUAGCAUUGUGCUGUUUACUACGCAAUUAACCAACUAGCGGGGGGAACAAAAAAAAAAAACAGGACAAAAAACAAAAGGCUUUAAAAUAAUCAGGAGGCGUGUGCAAAGUGGAUUUCUGGAUCUACCUGGUUGGAGGUGAGAUCUUUUUGGGAUACUGUUACAUCUCCUGGCCUUUGGAUCGCUGCAGCAAAACGUGCACAUUUACACAAAAAGUGUGAAAU